UUUUCGCGUAAGGGAUAGAAGUGGAAAUCCUUUAUUUUUAUGGAGCGGAGCGAAAUUUAAAAAAAGAUUGUAACAAAUAGCCCGACCCCGC
rnacentral:sRNA from 1 species